rnacentral:rRNA from 1 species
AAUUUUUAACUAUAAUUAAUAUAUAAAUAAAUUUUAUAUAUUCAUUUAAUAAAUUUAAUUAAUAAAUUUAAUUAAUAAAUUUAAUUAAUAAUAUAUUUUUAUAUAGCGUGCCAGCAAAAGCGGUUAUACGAUUAAUUAAAAUUAAAAAAUUAUUUAAAUUUAAAUAAAUUUAUUUAAUUAAUUAAAUUUAAUGUAGAAAUUAUUUAUUAUAAAUAUUAAAUUAAAUUAAUUAAUAGAAUAAUAUAUAUUAAAAUGGAUUAGAUACCCAUGUAAAAAAAUUUUUUAGUACUAAUUUUUUUUAAUUAAACUAUAUAAAUUUUUGGCGGUAGAAUAAUUAAUUAAAGGGGCUUGAUUAAUAAUAGAAAGUACUCAAUAAAAUUAAUUUUAUUUAUUAAUUUAUUUAUCUCCGUAUAAAAAUAUAUAAUUCAUUUAUAUAUUAAAUUAAUAUAUUAAUACAGGUCAAAAUUUAAUUAAAAAUAAAAAUAAUUUAGCCACAUAAAAAUAUUAUAAAAUUAAAUAUAAUAAGAAUUUAAAAGUAAAAUUUAUUUAUUAAAAAAUAUAUUGAAAAAAAAAUUUUAUGUACAUAUUGCCCAUCACUUUCAUUUAUUAAAUGAAAUAAGUUGAAACAUAGUAAAAGUAUAAGAAUAUGCUUUUAAAAA